rnacentral:rRNA from 1 species
GUGUCAGCAGCCGCGGUAAUACGGAGGGUGCAAGCGUUGUCCGGAUUUAUUGGGUUUAAAGGGUGCGUAGGCGGCCCGUUAAGUCCGUGGUGAAAGCCUCCAGCUCAACUGGAGAACUGCCAUGGAUACUGGCGGGCUUGAGUACAGACGAGGUUGGCGGAAUUGAUUGUGUAGCGGUGAAAUGCAUAGAUACAAUCAAGAACUCCGAUUGCGUAGGCAGCUAACUAGGCUGUAACUGACGCUGAGGCACGAAAGCGUGGGGAGCGAACAGGAUUAGAUACCCUGGUAGUCCACGCUGUAAACGAUGAUUACUCGAUGUUGGCGAUAAACUGUCAGCGUCUUAGCGAAAGCGUUAAGUAAUCCACCUGGGGAGUACGCCCGCAAGGGUGAA